UUUCUUGGAGCGAGGGAAAGGUCAAUGGUGGUCGGAUCGAUCAUCGGAAACCCUCUCGCUGUGCAAGGCCUUCCGCCGGAGACGAAGAUGGUGGCCAUCCCCUUGAAAUGUCUGCCGGCCAAGAUGGAGACCUCGUCAUCAAUGAUCGAUGCUCAUUGAGACCAGAAACAUCGUCUGAGAUUAUCGGGGAAUGAUGAUUUUGUAUUUCAAAGAAGUAAUUUUUCAGUUUGAGAGAUUGAUGGAGAGAAGGAGGUAAAGAGGAGGGAUGCAAUGUAAUUCAAGAAGCAUCCCUUUUGAAAUAUGGGGCACCAUCUUUGAUUUGUUUUGAUUGUGUCUGUUUAAACCAUUGUCAUUGAUUAAUUUGUUAUGUUUUUUUCCUUUUAAUCUAUUUAAAAAUUUUACUCUUUGUUUGGCUUUAGGGCUGAAACAAAGAAGUUGGCAUGGGAGAUGAUUACUUUUAAUUAUGAUUCCAGUCCUGUUAGUGUCAAUGAGGGAUGAUGCUGAUGUAUUCUCUUGAUUUGAGUUUCUCUUCUACUGAUCAUAAGGUGUUCGUUUCAUGAGGUAUCCGUUCUUGAAUUUGUUCUUGAUUAUUGGAGAGAUGUAUGAAUUACUGUGUAGAUUAACGUCUAGAAGGAGACAAAGAAGAGGGGUGCAAUGUAGCUCGAGAUAAAUCCUUCUUGAGAUCCUCAUAACCAUCACCAAUUUGUUAUGCGAUGGGAAUGACAGAUAGUGUUGUAUCUCAAGGAAUAUUUUCAGUUUGAGGAUGGAAAUGAAGAAGUUGGUGUGGAAGAAGAUCUUCUUCAAUUAUAAUUUCAAGUGCCAUUAGCAUCAAUUAGAGAUGAUGUUGUAUCUCAAGGAAGUAAUUUUUCCAGUUUGAGGUAUUUUUGAUUUGAGUUUUUCUUCUAUACGUCAUGAUGUGUUCCAUGCAUUCAAUCAUUCAAUGUGUCUAUUGCUAAGUCAUGCACAAGAUCUUGGUUAUGUUAUAUCUAAUUUUUUUCCUGUGCAUCUAAUAGUUCAAUGUGUCUAUUGUUAAGUCAUGCAGAAGAUCUUGGUUAUGUUAUAUAUAACUUUUUUCCUGUGCAUCUAAUAGUUCAAUGU